rnacentral:rRNA from 1 species
GAUGAACGCUGGCGGCGUGCUUAACACAUGCAGUCGAACGAUGAAGCCCAGCUUGCUGGGUGGAUUAGUGGCGAACGGGUGAGUAACACGUGAGUAACCUGCCCUUAACUCUGGGAUAAGCCUGGGAAACUGGGUCUAAUACCGGAUAGGAGCGUCCACCGCAUGGUGGGUGUUGGAAAGAUUUAUCGGUUUUGGAUGGACUCGCGGCCUAUCAGCUUGUUGGUGAGGUAAUGGCUCACCAAGGCGACGACGGGUAGCCGGCCUGAGAGGGUGACCGGCCACACUGGGACUGAGACACGGCCCAGACUCCUACGGGAGGCAGCAGUGGGGAAUAUUGCACAAUGGGCGCAAGCCUGAUGCAGCGACGCCGCGUGAGGGAUGACGGCCUUCGGGUUGUAAACCUCUUUCAGUAGGGAAGAAGCGAAAGUGACGGUACCUGCAGAAGAAGCACCGGCUAACUACGUG